rnacentral:lncRNA from 1 species
CACCCUGCUUGACGGAGUAAAAGAAGACAUGGCGAGGAACGGAAAGCUACGGGACCGAACUGAAGACGCUGGGAUCCACCAUUUAAGAGACAUCCGGAAUCAACAGGACAUCUUCACAACCCUGACUCGGCAGCGACAGUUGAGCCAGCCUCUCUGCAGCUUAAGGACAACUUCAGCUUGAUCGAAAACUGGGGGGCAAUUCGUAUAAUAAUAGGAUAAAAACACCAGAUUUGGUGUUUUAAGGUUUAUUAGUCUGAGGUUUAAUUAAUGUAUCAAAGCAACACAGCACUCGUGAUCGUGGGGUGGCUAUCUGGGCCACUCGACAUCAGAACCUCGAGUUUGCAGCCUCAACAAAACACCCGUGAUUAUAUCAUUGCCCAACCCCACUCUCACUCACACAAUUUCAAAUUGCAUUGAUGACCUUAUUUCAGCCUUGGUUACCGAAUACCAAGAUUAAACUCAGGUUGAUUGUCAGUUCAGUCUUAUCCUGUGGGUCAGGCACUGCUGUUAUUUUCUUGUAACUUAAAAUUGCACUAGACAGCAUUAAUAUUAGUUUGGAUUGGAUUCUGAUUAGCAGUCACUGCUUUAGCUAUACUCUCCACCUCAGCCUCUCCACGGCCUUUAUGCUCAGUCCUGGUUGACCAAUGUAAACCUUCAAUGUGGUUUGUUCACUUGAAUCCGUGAAACGCAUGAAUUUUACUUCAAAUGUUUUGUUAAUAGAAAGAAUUGUCGUGAUUUGGUCCCUGUAUAUGAAUUUGAAAUAAAUGAUUCAUCAAUUCAGUAUCUGAAUAUAUUUCAUUUCUAUUUUUCAACAGGGUCAGAGUUUGUGGAAAUGAGAAUUGUUAUGUAGUUCUGGAUGGUCAACAUAGUUGAGCACAAAUAUUUGUUGUGGGAAUUGAGUCAUCACUAAGUAGUAAAUAAACAAUAAAAGUGGUGACAUUUUCUGAUUUAACCUAAUAUUUGUGUUGGACACAAACAGCCAGUGUAAUUCUGAAGUUUGAUAUCACGGUAAGUAAAUGACCACACCACUACGUAGCCGUGACAUUACUUGCAUUACCAAGUGGCAACGUUAGCAAAUGACCACACCACUACGUCGCAGCAACGUUAUUAACAGUACCAAGCGGCAACGUUAACAA